rnacentral:rRNA from 1 species
CAUCACCCCGAGCUAAAGCCCCGACGGGAGGGGAUGGCUCCGCGGCCCAUCAGGUAGACGGCGGGGUGACGGCCCACCGUGCCGACAACGGGUAGCCGGGUUGAGAGACCGACCGGCCAGAUUGGGACUGAGACACGGCCCAGACUCCUACGGGAGGCAGCAGUGGGGAAUCUUGCGCAAUGGGGGGAACCCUGACGCAGCGACGCCGCGUGCGGGACGGAGGCCUUCUGGUCGUAAACCGCUUUCAGCAGGGAAGAGUCAAGACUGUACCUGCAGAAGAAGCCCCGGCUAACUACGUGCCAGCAGCCGCGGUAAUACGUAGGGGGCGAGCGUUAUCCGGAUUCAUUGGGCGUAAAGCGCGCGUAGGCGGCCCGGCAGGCCGGGGGUCGAAGCGGGGGGCUCAACCCCCCGAAGCCCCCGGAACCUCCGCGGCUUGGGUCCGGUAGGGGAGGGUGGAACACCCGGUGUAGCGGUGGAAUGCGCAGAUAUCGGGUGGAACACCGGUGGCGAAGGCGGCCCUCUGGGCCGAGACCGACGCUGAGGCGCGAAAGCUGGGGGAGCGAACAGGAUUAGAUACCCUGGUAGUCCCAGCCGUAAACGAUGGACGCUAGGUGUGGGGGGACGAUCCCCCCGUGCCGCAGCCAACGCAUUAAGCGUCCCGCCUGGGGAGUACGGCCGCAAGGCUAAAACUCAAAGGAAUUGACGGGGGCCCGCACAAGCAGCGGAGCAUGUGGCUUAAUUCGAAGCAACGCGAAGAACCUUACCAGGGCUUGACAUAUGGGUGAAGCGGGGGAGACCCCGUGGCCGAGAGGAGCCCAUACAGGUGGUGCAUGGCUGUCGUCAGCUCGUGUCGUGAGAUGUUGGGUUAAGUCCCGCAACGAGCGCAACCCCCGCCGCGUGUUGCCAUCGGGUGAUGCCGGGAACCCACGCGGGACCGCCGCCGUCAAGGCGGAGGAGGGCGGGGACGACGUCAAGUCAUCAUGCCCCUUAUGCCCUGGGCUGCACACGUGCUACAAUGGCCGGUACAGAGGGAUGCCACCCCGCGAGGGGGAGCGGAUCCCGGAAAGCCGGCCCCAGUUCGGAUUGGGGGCUGCAACCCGCCCCCAUGAAGUCGGAGUUGCUAGUAAUCGCGGAUCAGCAUGCCGCGGUGAAUGCGUUCCCGGGCCUUGCACACACCGCCCGUCA